AAUCAAAAUUUAAUAUGGCUGGCGGUAAAGGUAAAGAGAAGUUUAAAGGAACAAACAUUAGAGAGCGUUUUGUCAAUUAAAAUGACUGCUACAGUUGCCGAAAUAAGAAAAUGAAUAAUGACUCGACAGAUCAGAUGGUGGUGGUCGGCGCGUAAAAGGCGAUUCACCCGAUGUAUAAAAUUCAUACUUUUUUCUAGUUGUUCUGGAACUAUUGAUAAUAGUUAUUAUUGAUAAAUUGAUAAAUAUAUUACUGAUAAACAAAACUUUUUUUUUUCAAACAUUUUACUUUAUUUGCAUUGUAUAUAAAGUCCGUUGAAGCAAUUUAGUUGUAUCUGAUUAAUUUACGUGAAGUAUAAUAUUCUUCGCGCAAA